rnacentral:misc_RNA from 1 species
AAUAUAUAAUGCAAAUGAAUGAGUGGCCAGAGGGUUAGAAAUGUAUAAAGCGCCUUCCUCAGGUUUAGAUGUCAAUAAUGGAGUUGAUAUAUAUAUAAUGAAUUUCUGCAAAGGUGCAUGUAAAAAAGUGACUUGUUCAUUUUUAUUUUACAGAAAAGAAAAUAAAUCUGUGUCAUGGGAGUCAAGGGGCUAUGGAGACUCAUAGAAGAGGCCGGAACUCCGGUGCCUUUAGAAUCACUGGAAAAUAAAGUACUUGCAGUAGAUGUUUCUAUUUGGUUGCACCAGGCGGUUCGUGGCUUCAGAGGCAUUGGUGGAGAGACGGUUGCCAACGCACACUUACUCACGUUAUUUCAUCGAAUAUGCAAGCUUCUUUAUUUUGGCAUAAAACCAGUGUUUGUAUUCGAUGGGGGAGUUCCACACCUCAAGAAGCAAACACAAUCAUUGCGACGCGUGCGUCGAGAAGCUGCAGCUAACAGAGCUGACCGUAUCCGUGAGAGACUUCUUAACAACCUCCUGAAGAGUCACGCAGUUCGUCAUGCCCUCGGUAGAACGGGACCCGCACCUUCUCAGCACAAAGUGGUGCCAGCUCCUAAAACGCGCCAGAAAGACAUGUUCGAGUUGCCUCCUCUGCCUGAAGGUCAAAGUUUUGGAGAUGAAGCAUUAAAAAAUAAAGUCGAAGAAAUCUCGAGCGAUGAAAAUGGAGAGUACUCUGAGAAACCCAGGAAACGGGGGAAGGCUUUUCAUUAUAAAAAUCUCCAUAACUUCGACUUGGACAGUGAACAGUUUCGUUCGUUACCAAUCCAAAAGCAGCACGAAAUUUUAGUCGAAUUGCAAGACUCUAGGAAAGACAACUCAUGGGCUACAAUUAACAGCAUGCCUUCGGAGUCAUCAGGAUUUGCUACUUACCAGAUGGACAGGCUUCUGAAGCGCUUCAAGUUUCAAACAACAAUUGACAGCGUGAGAUCCGCUAUACAGCAAAAAAAGUCGGAGGAACUGGAAAGAGAAUUAUUUGGUGACCUGGAAAAGCAUGUCAGUCAAACGCACAAGAUUGCUUCUGAAGACUUCGCUCACAGCAUUUUUAUCACUAAAGAAAGGGACACUACGAAGGAUGAAGAACCUGUCAAACCAAGAAAGGUAGACAAAGGCAAGUCGUUGAUGAAAAAGCCUCAGAAAGAUUUUCUUCAGGAGCUGAUGAAAGAAGGAAUUUUCAAGAACCCUAAUAAAUGUUCGUCUUACUGUAAUACUGAUGACUCGUCAGACGAAGAAUUUAGUGACGAUAAAUAUUCUGACAGUCAGGAGACCAGAGAUGAAGCGCUGGUGCAGGUAAUGAAUUAUGCGUUGAGUGAUAACAAUGGCUUGACUCAAGAUGAAAUAUUGCGUCUGAUCCAGCAGUCGAAACAGGAAGCUGAUACCAUGAUUGAAAGUGACGAUAGUAAGCCAAGCACCUCGCGCAAUGCUUCUGGGGUUGUAUGCAAUGCAGAUGUCAAUGCAUCGGAUUCUGAUGACACUGAUGACUUUGUCGAAGUUGACGAGCCUGAAACCGAUAUUUCAGGUGACCUGGGUGCCGGAAUCGAAACUGCGAUAGGAAAAGCUUCUGCGUUGGAGGAAAUAUGUCCUGUGUCGCACAACAGUGAAAGUGACGGAGAUGGCAACAACAUCGAUGCCCUCAGAUCUUCGAACUCCAGUAGCUUGUAUAUUAAAAUUGUGCAGCAUAGACUAGACGACAUCAUUCAAGUAGAAGAUAAGUCACUUGGCAAAGCUAAAGUAGAUACUCGCAGAAAGAAUAGUGUCUCAGGAAUGUCACCUGGUAGUUUGGACGAAAAGCAGAAAUCUUCCAUACAGAAUAGUUUGGCCCUAAGCAUCGAUGUCUCUAAACCCAAAUUGUUUGAAGAAGACAUCUUUGCUGACAUAUUUUCCUCUUCUUCAUCGAACACAGAACCUAAUAAAGAAUCAAACAAUACUCCAGCGCCUUCAUUGCUGGAUGAAACCAAGCGCACUCGUGUCAAAUUUGUUCAAAAUCACAGGAAAAAAUUAAUGGCGAAUGACAAAUCAAAUAGUGUCCAGGAAAUUGUUGCCAUGGAGCAAAAUUCAUCGGAAACUAAAGUCUCUACAGUUCGAGUAAAGAAUGGUAGCUACACUGAAGAGAAUAUUAAGAAAAAAAUUGAUGACCUUGUCAAAGUUCAGCUCGAAAAUAUGCUAAAAACGUCUGGAUUCCCCUCUUCUAUCAAUGAGUCAGUUUCGGGAGCAUUGCAAUCGAGUACCAAUUCGGAGAAUUGUCAAUCUUUGGUUGCAUCAGCCGCUCCUUUCCCUAUAAAUUUAUCACUGCACGAACGCUCUGAAAAAACUCAGAAUAGAAACGAAUCCGAUGAUGCCGGAAAAAAUAAUUCCAUUCCAUCAAUGUCACAAUUUAAUCAUUCCAUUGAGUCACCAGAAGCUAUUGCUGAAAAUUCUGGUGUAGAUUCGUAUGAUGACGACGACUUUAUUGAGGUACAUGAACCAAUUAGUGAAUCCCGCUCUUUAUCAUCUGAAGAAACUCGUGACCCCACAUCAACACCAAUUAAAAGAAGCGGCGCCAGCUCUGUUGAUGCAAACGAUGCUGCCCCGACUGGCAAUCUUAAAAACGGCGAAAAUCUUUCUCGGAAAAUUUUCACUACAAUCACAAAAAUAUCAGGAGUUUCAACAACAGCUGCUUCUUCCUCCACCAGCGAAGCGGUAGAUAAAACUGUUCAGAACGCUUCUGCGCCGGCGUAUGUUGUCAAGUCGGCUGAUGAAUGCAAUUUCGACACUGACACAUCCGCUGUGAAUGCUGAAGUUGGAUUCGCUGGUCCUAAUGAAGAUGAUCUGAAGAAAAUUGAACAAGAACUUGCAAAAGAACAGAAGAGUUUGGUGGCACAAGCCCAGAAAGGGGAUCGAAUCGCGUCUAAUCUCUCGCAGCAAAUGUACACAGAUGCCCAAGAACUGUUGCAGCUUUUUGGCUUGCCUUACAUAGUGGCACCUAUGGAAGCAGAAGCUCAAUGUGCAUUCCUUGACGACGUCAAGCUUACGAAUGGUACCAUAACCGAUGACUCGGAUGCUUUUCUUUUCGGUAGUAAGCACGUCUACAAAAAUUUUUUCAAUCAAAGUCAGCACGUUGAGCUAUACAAGUUGGAUAACAUUCGAACUCAGUUCGGGUUAGAUCGAGAAAAGCUCAUAACUUUAGCGCUAUUAACCGGGAGCGAUUACACCAUGGGCAUUGAAGGUGUCGGGGCCGUCUCAGGAAUGGAGAUACUCUCCGAGUUUCCCGGCACAGGGAUAGAAAUAUUGCGGAACUUUAAAAAAUGGUGGAUAUCGGUUAACAGGGGCGUGUCUGUGUCUAAACCAUCCAAGCUCCGUGAGAAGCUUUAUAAAGUGUACCUUCCAGAAGGUUUCCCCAACGACGAAGUCUACACUGCUUACAUCGAACCUGCCGUUGAUCGGUCACGAGAAAAAUUCGAGUGGUCUGUUCCGAACACGGAUGCGUUGAGGGAGUUUACAGCUGAUAAACUUGGCUGGAGCCGAUCGAAAACUGACGAGAUUUUGAUACCUGUCAUGAAGCGUUUGAGCGUCAAGUCUUCACAAACGAGGAUUGAUACGUUCUUCAACAACGUGCGCCUUGUGAAGGACACGAAGGUUACCAGUAAGCGACUGCAAGAGGCAAUUGCUAGGUCCCGAGGUGAUAUUAUUCAAACUUCGCCGCAACCUAAGGAUAAUUUGAUGGCAAAAAUUGCUCGAGAUCAAAAGGCUAGCAAGAAACCCAGGAAAAGACGCCUGGCGUCUGAAAAUGUUAGUGAUGUUAGUGAAAAAGCGACGGAUGGCAUGACGCCUAGGUCGAGGAUUGCGAAGAAGCCUCGUGUUAAGCCUAUAAACAAUGUUCCUUCAUCUACAAAUGCAGCAAGAAACGCCAAUAAUUCAUCAGUCUCUCCAUCGCCAUCCAUUUCUGAGAAACAACGUCUGUCUACACAAGAGAAGAAGGAAGAAAUAUUCAAUCAUCUGCUCAAGAAAAAGGAGGAAAUUACUCAGCGGAAAGCUGCGGAAGCAGAAAUGCUACGCAAGAAACAACAAGCUGCUAUUGUGCUCAGAAGCAAAAUUCUCAAAGGAAAGAAAGAUUGAAAAAAUGUAUCGCCAAUUAUGCUUAACAUUUUGAUGUCCCAGAGCGGUUAAAUUCAUCCCUGCGAGUUUCACAUAUUUUUUGGCUUCUCCCACACUUUUGUUCGAUUAUUGUGUAUGUUCAUUUUUAUUGGUUAGUCGUCUAGGCGCGUCAGUAUCAUGUUGUAAUUGAACAAUUUUACAUUUAUGAAAGUUCUCAUUUGAACCGAGUAUAUUUGCAGAUUUUUGUUUGCAACUUCGUGUGAAAGCAUCGGCUGUGCAGUGAAGGUUCAAAUUCAUAUCAAUAUCCUAACAACGUAGGACUUUCAACCUCGCCUCUUUGCCACUUGACUCCCAUUGCCUCAGAAACUUUGUGUUCUCCUGUUCCUGCAUCAAUCAGUUCAAAGAUUUGUUCUUAAGUCAUAUUAGCAAUAAAGUUUCGGUAGUAGACUGGAGCGUUCGUUGCAUGGCGGCGCUCAACGAUUCUCUGCGCUCGUGUGUCUUGGACUCGGAAACUUCGCAGUCGAGUUCCCGCAGCUGCCGACCACCUUCUGUAAGGACAGCCACCUUCGCUACUCACGUGUCCGGAGACAAAGUUGAUUGUGCAGUUAUUGAGUACAGCAAUCGAGUGUUCGUGACGGUCACCUCGGUUGGCCGCGUUGGCAACCUGUUCCUGGUUCAACGCGAGACGCCCCAACAGACGCCGCUGCUAGCCUCCACCACCGCCAUCUACAACGUACGGUGCAUACUUGGGAGCGAAGAGUCCUCGACCGUGCUCAGUGUUCGCGCUCUGGCCGAGCUCCUGGCAACCAAUAAACCAAUUCUGCUGAGCUUAACGCUGCCUUGCUUGCCGCCGCGCACCGAGCUCGCUGCCCUGGCCCACUCCAUCAACCAACAUCUUCGUGCAUGA